rnacentral:tRNA from 1 species
GGGGUUGUGGCUCAGCGGUAGAGCAUUCGCCUAGCAUGUGCAAGGCCCUGGGUUCGAUCCUCAGCACCA